UAAAAAUUUUUCAAUUUAUUUCAAUUUUCUUUUACAAUACUAAUAAACUAUAAUUAAAUUUAUUUUUUCUUUAAACAAUACUAAAACUUUUUAUUAUAUAAUUAUUUUUAAUAAUCUAUUUAAAAAUAUAAAAAAUUAAUAAAUAAAAUCUAA
rnacentral:rRNA from 1 species